rnacentral:rRNA from 1 species
CACGUAGGCACCAAGCGUUGUCCGGAUUUACUGGGCGUAAAGCGCACGUAGGCGGAUUGUUAAGUUAGGGGUGAAAUCCCGGGGGCUCAACCCCCGGAACUGCCUUUAAUACUGGCAAUCUCGAGUCCGAGAGAGGUGAGUGGAAUUCCGAGUGUAGAGGUGAAAUGCGUAGAGAUCGGGAGGAAGGCCGGUGGCGAAGGCGGCGCUCGUG